rnacentral:rRNA from 1 species
GAUGAACGCUGGCGGCGUGCCUAAUACAUGCCAGUCGAGCGAACGGACGAGAAGCUUGCUUUUCUGAUGUUAGCGGCGGACGGGUGAGUAACACGUGGAUAACCUACCUAUAAGACUGGGAUAACUUCGGGAAACCGGAGCUAAUACCGGAUAAUAUUUUGAACCGCAUGGUUCAAAAGUGAAAGACGGUCUUGCUGUCACUUAUAGAUGGAUCCGCGCUGCAUUAGCUAGUUGGUAAGGUAACGGCUUACCAAGGCAACGAUGCAUAGCCGACCUGAGAGGGUGAUCGGCCACACUGGAACUGAGACACGGUCCAGACUCCUACGGGAGGCAGCAGUAGGGAAUCUUCCGCAAUGGGCGAAAGCCUGACGGAGCAACGCCGCGUGAGUGAUGAAGGUCUUCGGAUCGUAAAACUCUGUUAUUAGGGAAGAACAUAUGUGUAAGUAGCUGUGCACAUCUUGACGGUACCUAAUCAGAAAGCCACGGCUAACUACGUG